UACAGAGGGGGCAAGCGUUAUUCGGAAUUAUUGGGCGUAAAGGGCGCGUAGGCGGCCUGCUAAGUCGGAUGUGAAAUCCCUCGGCUCAACCGAGGAACUGCAUCCGAUACUGGCGGGCUUGAAUCCGGGAGAGGGAUGUGGAAUUCCAGGUGUAGCGGUGAAAUGCGUAGAUAUCUGGAGGAACACCGGUGGCGAAGGCGGCAUCCUGGACCGGUAUUGACGCUGAGGCGCGAAAGCUAGGGGAGCAAACGGGG
rnacentral:rRNA from 1 species